AGACUAGAGAGAUUUUUGUUGCGUAGAAUCCACGCAGUGAAUAAACAAGCCAUUAGCAAUAUACAUAACAAUGUGAGACUCUCUUCUCAAUAUCACUUCACAAUUUGGAUGUGCUUUCAUUAUAUGUGGUUCUUGCUCCUCUUAAAGUUAUCUCUCUGUUGCCAGAUGAUUUGAAAAUUGCAUGUGACUUUGGAGUUCUAUUUCAAUUCAACCUGAUGCAAUUCUUAUUUGAGCCUCUGAAAAAAAAAAAGGUGACAGAAUGAUAUAUGUUUGACUUUUGCAGCCUGAUGAACUUAGUUGCAAUGACUCUAAACAAAUUAUUUUGCUAUGAUGGUUUUUGGUUCAUUUGCUAAGUGGAUCAAACAAAAAAGUUGUCCCUUGAAAAAGUUUCUAAUGAUUUGUUGAUGGUAAAGUUGUGGGACAAUGUUCCUAAUUCUUGUAACCCAAGAAAAUUGAAAUGUGAUGAUUUAUUUGAUUCUUUAUUUUUAUAAAAUUCAAGUAUAACGAAAAAUGAUAUACUUGCCUAAAAUGAUUAUAUCGUGAUGUAUAUUGACUCUUGCCUCCAUAAAUGAAAAAUUUUUGGAAGCGUAAUUUGUUGGAGCCAAUAUGAUCUUGCAAAAUCAAAUUUUGGUGAAGGAUUUUAGUCCAUAUGACACUUUUUAAUUUAAAUAUGGAAGUGGGAAUGGGAUAGAACGCGGUUAUGAAGCGUAUAGGUGCUUUACGUGAGUGUGGUGUCAGGAUCGAAAAAAUCAGACGAUCCGAGUUCAAGGUAAAUAAUCGGACGGUCGAUAUAAGGUGCACAAAUAAAAUCAUCCAAUGUGUGUCCUCCCUAUCACGUGUCACACAUGCGUUUCUCCCUGGGACGGUGAUUCCCUUAUACCCAAGGUAGUCAAAAUCGCGACUUAACUCGCGAAAUCGCACACUUUUGUGAUUUUGCAACUCCUCUCCGUUUCGAUUUUAUUGUUCGAGUGACAGCAGUGUUGUUUGCGUGGAAUCGCCGAGAAAAGUCGCAAAAUCACUGGAAUAAUGAUUUUGUUGGCGAUCCCGUGUGUGAGGAAGAAUACUCAUCCAUAAGCGGUGUUCUAUUGUUCCCUAACCUAAUUUGAAAUUCACCCAAAUCCAGCCCAGCACGUAUAGAAGAAAGCUGAAAAGGAACCCCUAGAAUGGAGUAAAGUUCUUGUAAUAGGGGCAUUCUUCAAACCAAAAGCAGAGAAAAGCAAAGGCAUUACAUACAGUGCGACUGGCGCUGUCUUCCUCCUCCGUGGAGGAGGGCUAAUCGGGAGCUUGAACAGAAAAGCGAGGAAGGCGAAAGAAAAUGCAACACCAACAUCUCCUUCAUGCGGCGGUUUCACAGUGUCUCUUCAUGGAAAUUGAGUGACCCAAAACCUAGGAGGAAAUUGCGGAGUAGAUAUUCCAGAGGAAUUUUAUGGACAAUAUGCUCAACAUGCCAAAGGAGAUGGAUUUGCCAUUGGAAGGAGCUUCGUAAGCGCAGUCAUGGGAUAUUUGGGUUGCAGUGAGUGUUAUGGAUCUAGGUUGGGGAAAAACGGGUUGGAAAAGGGUGCCUGAUGGUGAUGGGGAUGAGGAUGGGUAACUUAUGUUGGGUCGGGUCCAAUUGUGGACCUGGACCUAUGUCAAUAAAAACAAAAAAAGAAAGAAAAAGGAACACUAAUAAAUUUGUUUGUU